rnacentral:tRNA from 1 species
AGGGAUGUAGCUCAGUUGGUAGAGUGCAUGACUGGUGUUCAUGACAUCCUGGGUUUGGUCCCCAGUGCUA